rnacentral:rRNA from 1 species
AUUGAACGCUGGCGGCAGGCCUAACACAUGCAAGUCGAGCGGAUGAAGGGGGCUUGCUCCUGGAUUCAGCGGCGGACGGGUGAGUAAUGCCUAGGAAUCUGCCUGGUAGUGGGGGAUAACGUCCGGAAACGGGCGCUAAUACCGCAUACGUCCUGAGGGAGAAAGGGGGGGAUCUUCGGACCUCACGCUAUCAGAUGAGCCUAGGUCGGAUUAGCUAGUUGGUGGGGUAAAGGCCUACCAAGGCGACGAUCCGUAACUGGUCUGAGAGGAUGAUCAGUCACACUGGAACUGAGACACGGUCCAGACUCCUACGGGAGGCAGCAGUGGGGAAUAUUGGACAAUGGGCGAAAGCCUGAUCCAGCCAUGCCGCGUGUGUGAAGAAGGUCUUCGGAUUGUAAAGCACUUUAAGUUGGGAGGAAGGGCAGUAAGUUAAUACCUUGCUGUUUUGACGUUACCAACAGAGUAAGCACCGGCUAACUUCGUG